AUACGGAGGGUGCAAGCGUUGUUCGGAAUCACUGGGCGUAAAGGGCGCGCAGGCGGUUUGGUAAGUCAGAUGUGAAAGCCCACGGCUCAACCGUGGAAGUGCAUUUGAAACUGCCAGACUUGAGUACCAGAGGGGAAAGUGGAAUUCCCGGUGUAGAGGUGAAAUUCGUAGAUAUCGGGAGGAAUACCGGUGGCGAAGGCGACUUUCUGGCUGGAUACUGACGCUGAGGCGCGAAAGCGUGGGGAGCAAACAGGAUUAGAUACCCCAGUAGUCC
rnacentral:rRNA from 1 species